rnacentral:lncRNA from 7 species
GGGGCGGGCUGUGGCCCGGCUCGGGGAGCGGAGCCUGCCGGGAGCAGCACGCCAGCACUGUUUCCUAGAACCUGUCGCUUACUGUGCAGGCAGCACAGUGCUUGGGAAAAGCUUUACCUGGUGUUCAUCAUGAGUAGGAGUCGUCCCCACCUGUGAAGCCUGGGUUCCUGAUGGAGAAGUUGCUGAUCCUCCUCACCUGUGUCAUCUGAGUGGUUUAGAGGAAUCAUGCCAUCGGACACAGAUCAGUAAUGCUUGUUGCUUGAUCCAACUGCUGUAUAGCUGAUGAAUUCAUGGAUUUAAGACAAAUAAUCCGUAUUUCAUUACUAGCAAGUGCUAGAAAUAAAAAUGUACUCUGCACUAUUGCUUGGAAAAACAAAUCCUGAAGUCGUAAGAGAGGAUUAAAGUUGGAAAAAAAUCUCUCAAGAGAAAAACGAAGGGAGUAAUGACAUCUGCUUAGCAGCAUCCAGCCCCUCAGCCUGCAGCACGGACCUCUGGAGCCCUUACACACGGAAUAAAAGGGGAUGCAGUGAGUGAGGAGCAGCAGAACUGCAAGCAGAGCAGCGCUACUGGUGGUGGUGUUCUACCAUGGCAGUAAACAAAGCCAUCGGUUGCAGACUUCUGCACCAAUUCAGGUGGCUCCAUUGAAGCUGCUGCUCUGCAUGCCGUAAAACAGCAAUCCGAAGGGUUUGCUCUGAAAGCAUCUCUUUGUGCCCUGGGCCAGUGACCCCACUGCUGUGCCAGUAAAUCAUGGCAAGCUGGAGGAAUCUCCCUGAUUUCUGAGCUCCUAAUCCCGCAAAGCCUGUAAAUGAUGGCUGGCUUAGCUUUGUUUCUGAUAAAACGAGGCUUAUGAGAU